GUUUAAGUUCUCUACAGAUUCUGGUUAUUAAACCUUUGUCGGAGACAUAAUCUUCGAAAAUCUUCUCCCAGUCUCAUGGCUGUCUGCUUUG